rnacentral:lncRNA from 1 species
GUGCCUUCUAGUGGGGUCUGAGAGCUUUUCCUAGGGGAGGGUGGAAGCAGAGGAGACCUGAUGGGUGUGUGGAAGCUGAUCAGACAAGGAGAGUAAGAAGCCAGGUCACAGAGGACAAGUCAGAGCCCUCUGUCCCAGACAGGAAGCUGAAUCUCUUCAUUCCCAUCCAUUGCGUGCUUUCUGGUGCUCUGUGGGAAGAGUAUGUACAUUCUCCAGAGGUCCUGGGUCUCAACCUACGGGAUGCCUCCCUCGUAGCUCAAGGAUGAUGUUCCAAAGGUCGCAGCCGCAGAUCUCCCACAACUGAAUCACGAAGAAGCUUGGAUGUGUACAGAGGUGUUGGGAGGCAUCCAAGGUGCUCUGGAUGCAGUUCCAGAAAAACUCUCUAGAAUAUGGAAGCUCGUUGUUUCAGCGGAAGGAGAUGAAGGAGGAAUGAGACCAAGACGAGGGAUUGGGAGGAAUGGAAGCCACUGAAGAAGUGGGCACACGAAGGGAACUUGAUCCUGAUCAGGAAGGAGGAACAGAAAUAGAGCAGGGCCAGUGCCCCUGCCUCCCCUGACUGUGAUCGACAAUAUCUGUCCUUGGUACACACCUCUGCAGAAGCAACUGAGCAGCUAUCUGCCUCCGAGCGUCUGCAGAGGGUACCGAGAUGCAGAGAGGAGAGAGGGAUGGAGUGCAGGACCCCAAGCCAGCAGCUCCACUCCAAUGUCAAGACUGCUUGAUUUGCUAAGUAUCUGAAGGGGAGGGAGGCAGGUCAGACUAGCAAUGGGCAAAUAGGGAGAGUCUUUGCUGGCUGUCAGGCUCUGUGCUAUGGGUGCUGUAAGUGUAUCUGCUACUCUUCUGUCCAUUGUAUCAGAAUUCAUGACAGUGGCAACUUAAAAAUGAAGGUCUACUUGUGUAUCUUUUUUUUUUUUUAAAGGUUUACUUAUUUAUGUGAGUACACCUUAGCUAUCUUCAGACACUCCAGUAGAGGGCAUCAGAUCUCAUUACAGAUGGUUGUGAGCCACCAUAUGGUUGCUGGGACUUGAACUCAGAACCUUCAGAAGACCAGUCACUGUGCUUAACAGCUGAGCCAUCUCUCCAGCCCCUACUUGCGUAUCUUAAGGAUACAGUCCAUUGAAGUGGGGAAGGCGUGAUGGCAGGAGCAGGAGGCAGUCUGGCCAUACUGCAUCUGUAUUAGGAACACAGAGAAGGAAAGGGAGGUAGAGAUGGAUGUGGGAGAAGGAGAGGGGGAGGUAGAGAUGGAUGUGGGGGAGGAGGAGGAGGAGGGAGAGGGAAUUGGGGAGGGGGAGGGGAAAAGGGAGGGGGACAGGGAGGAAGAGAGAGAGGAAUGCUGGUGCCCAGAUAGCUUAGUCCAUUUUACUCAGUCCAGACUCACAAGGAUGGUGUUGCCCAUGGUUUAGGGUGUGUCUCCCCACCUCAGUUAACCUAACCCAGAAACUCCCUUGCAGACAUUCUCAGGAGUAUGUAUCCUAGGUGAUUCCAGAUCCUGCCAAGUUGACAAUCAGUAGUUAGCAUCCCAAGAAAUGACGUCUCAACACACCCUGUUCAACAAGCAUGACAAAUGACACUUUGGAACUUUGGUUACAGGUAACAGAACGUGGCGUGAUAGGUGGAGGAGAGAAUUUGUGGGCUCAGGAACCAGCAAGUCCAGGAAAGGGAGUCAUGGCUGGGCAAGGGCUGAAAUCUUAUCUUUUAACUCACGUCUUUUCCCAUCUCUGCCCUCUUCUGGGUUGUCUUUCCUUUCAAGUACCUUUCUUCAUGGAUGGCCAGUGAGUUCAAAGGCUCCUAGUCACACGCUCAGCCCACUUGUAUGCUAGAGAGGCUUUCUUUCUCAGUGGUUGACUCUGUGACUUGUGUCCCCAGUUCAGAUCCUCUUGUGACCUCUGGACCAAUGACUGAGGACAGAAAUGUGGGGAGUGCUUUGAUUGGUCAAGCUUUGGUCACCUGCUCACAUAAGGAACUGUGGGUGGGGUUCUCCUGAAACACACGGUUUGAGAAUGAGGCAGCUGUGUAACUCCAAAGAAAGAUAAAUGUAAAUAUUUUUGCCAGAUGAGGGAGACCAGGUCCAGAGAGAGAGAGAGGGAUGGAUGGAUAAUAGGUAAGGGUCUGUGAUGGUUUGUAUAUUCUUGACCAGGGAGUGGCACCAUCUGGAGGUGUGGCCUUGAUGGAAUAGGUGUGACCUGAUUGGAAUAGGUGUGUCACUGUGGGUGUGGGCUUAAGACUCUCACCCCAGUUGCCUGGAGGUCAGUCUUCCACUAGCAGUCUUUGGAUGAAGAUGUAGAACUCUCAGCUCUGUCUGCACCAUGCCUGCCUGGAUACAGCCAUGCUCCCACUUUGAUGAUAAUGGACUGAACCUCUGAACCUGUAAGCCAGCCCCAAGUAAAUGUUGUUUUUAUAAGACUUGCAGUGGUCAUGGUGUCUGUUCACAGCAGUAAAACCCUAACUAAGACAGGGAUCUUCUGCGGGUUUAUGUAUUAUUGUCCACUUACAGAAAAAAAGCAAGCUUAGAAGGAUGUAUGAAUUUUGUUGCAUGCCUAAUAAGUGAGAGUUUGGAUCACUGCUCCAGAUUACUGCUUUGAUGGGAGAAUAUGUUCCUGUAGUCUCCAAAGUAGAGGGGCAUUCCUUGUUCCAGUAGGUCAUGCUCCAUUUAUUAAGAAUGAGCUGGGGAGAUGGCUCAGUGGUUUAAAUGUUUGCUGCUUAAGCAUGAGGGCAAGAGUUCAAAUCCCCAGCACCCAUGUAAAAUGUGGGAUGUGGGAGCACAUGACCCUAACUCCAGAAGUGGGGCAGGACUGAAGUGGAUGGAUCCCAAGGGCUCUCUGACUGCAGUGUAGAGGACACACUAAAGUACUGGUUCGCUGAGUGUAUUGGCUGGUUUUGUAUGCCAACUUGACACAGGCUGGAGUUAUCACAGAGAAAGGAGCCUCCCUUGAAGAAAUGCCUCCAUGAGAUUCAGCUGUGGGGCAUUUUCUCAAUUAGUGAUCAAGGGUGGGAGGGUCCAUUGUGGGUGGAGUCAUUCCUAGGCUGGUAGUCCUGGGUUCUAUAAGAGAGCAGGCUGAGCAAGCCAGGGGGAGCGAGUCAGUAAGUAACAUCCCUCCAUGGCCCCUUCAUCAGCUUCUGCUUCCUGACCUACUUGAGUUUCUGUCCUGACUUCCUUUGGUGAUGAACAGCAAAGUGGAAGUGUAAGCUGAAUAAAUCCUUUCCUCUCCAACUUGCUUCUUGGUCAAGGUGUUUUGUGCAGGGAUAGAAACUCUAAGACAGUGAGAUAGACUCUCCAAAAAAUAAGGUGUAGAGAAAGCGAAGGCACCUCACAUUGACUUCUUGUCAAGCCAGUAGGAUGAGAACCCAUGAUGCUACUCUGUUCGGCAUUUCCCCAUGGGCUGAACUAAGUGUCUCUGUCAAAGUUUCUGUUAAUUGGACACAAGCCUAUGCAUAGAUGGGGAGAGGGAAUCUCAGCUGAGGAAUUUGCUUCCAUCAAUUGAUGAGUAGGCACAUCUUUGGGAAAUUUUCCUGAUUGCUGAUUGCUGUAGAAGGUCACAGUCCACUCUUGGUGGUGCCAUUCCCUAGACACAAGCCUAUGCAUACAUGGGGAGAGGGAAUCUCAGCUGAGGAAUUGCUUCCACCAGUUGAUGAGAGGGCAUGUUUCUGGGGGAAAUUUCCUGAUUGCUGAUGGAUGUAGGAGAGCACAGUCCACUGUUGGUGGCACCAUUCCCUAGGCAGGCAGGCGUGGGCUGUGUAAGAAAGGCUGUGAGCAAGCUAAUAACUAGUGUUCCUCCAUGGUCUCUGCUUAAGUUCUUACCUCUCAGGUUCCUGCCUUGAAUUUCUGCCCUGGUUUUCCUUAAUGGCCUAUAAGCCAAAUAUGCCCUUUUCUCCCCAGGUUGUUUUUGGACAGCGUUUCAUCACAGCAAUAGACAGCUAUAUAGAAUGGUCCUUCUUUUGAGCUGCUAUGGUGACAUGGGCUAUUUUAGUCUGUUUCAGUCUGAGUGUGUACCAUAAGCCUGGUGGGGUCUAGCCACUGGAGAGUAACACUGUGCAUAACACAAACAGAUGUCUUUCCCCUUCUGGAAAUAAGCUAAAUAAUGGAAAGUGAGGAUUGUCUUAGCCUAUUACUGGAAGUCUGAUGGCCAGAAGAAGCUGUUGAUUGGGGAUUAGAGAAGACAGAGGAGUCCUGUGAGGUGACAGAAGAAUAGCUGAACUUGCUCUGUGACCCUGGGAAGCUUAGCAUGGGAUUCUUUGUAGAAAAGAACAUUUGAGUCAUAAAUUGGCCACCCUGGAGACAGAGUAGUGGGGGCACUAGCGGACUGUGGCUGUUAUGCUUGCUGCUCCCAUCUUGCAGUGAGGAUCCAGGGCUCUUUUGGAUGUUGUCCUAAAGCCAUCUGUUAUUGCUUCUUGCUCUCCUGACUCGGGUAAGCCGAAAUCCAGGACUGAGUACAUCUCCAGGAGACUGUUGAAAGUGCCAACUUGAUUAACGCUUUGUAUGAUAAGAUCAAAGAUCAAGAUACAGGAGCUUAAAGAACGGAUUAAUUUUAAAGAACAACCAACAAAGAAACCAGAGCUGGCUGGAUUUAGAGAUGGCAGAGAGCUCUCAAACUCAGAAGGGUCUCAGGGCCAGAGAUGAAGUCAAUAGUGGCCUCGUAAGAUCCUCUGCCGAGACUCCAGAAAGACCAGGGCCAAGUGCUCUGGACCUUACAUUUAUGCCCUAUGCCUCCUUUAAGGAACAGAAAGCCAAAAGAUAUUAGGGAUUUGUUCUAGUCAUCUUAAGAAGUGAGUUGGCGAGGUAGCCAACCGGUAGAAAAAGGAUUAAGUCUUUUGGACAGUCAGGCCUCUGGUCUCUUUUGGGGUGUCUGGGCCUGGGCUCCUUUUUAAUCAUUUAUAUAAGACAACACAUCAAUCAUUUUUUCUUUUUUUCCCCCACCAGUGUCUCUGGCUUCCCUUCUGAGAUUUCUUUCAUCUUCUGUCUUUCUUUUCUUCUACAGAGCUGUGGUUAUUGUUAACUUUUGAGGAAUCUCCAAUAACUGGUACCUAUUUACAUUCUUAAGAUCCUUUUAACUUCUGAAGUUUCUUUCUAACAUCUAGGGCCAACUGCUUAACAGAAAGCAAUGCUGGCUGCUGGUUUUCUGGCCUGUCUGGGUCUCUGUGGAUGAACACCUGGUAGCAUUCCAGGAACCCAGUUGGGUGAUUCUUGGGGCUCUUGCAUGACCUCAUUUACCCCAGAUGGUGGGUGUUCUAGAAGCCAGCUUCAGUCUUCCUAAAAAGGGCUUGAGUAUUCUUACCUUGGUCAGUGUUUGACUCCCAGUCAGGUCAGAAAGGAAAAUCCAUUCUAUCCAGACAGAAGCAGAGAGAGAGUUCUACAGAGAGACACACGGUAAAGACAAUCAGGAGUGUCCAUUACACGUUCUCCCUCUCUGUGUUGUGUUACAAGUGUGUGCAUCCAUGUGUGUCCCUUCAGAAACCAAGUGAGUGUCCUCUCCUGUCACUCUCUGACAGAUUGCCUUGAGGUAGGGCCUAUCGCUGAACUGGAAGCUUGUCAUUUGGGCUCUUGACUGGCCAGCGAUCUCUCAGAAUCCCCUGCCUGGCCCAGUCCUGAGGUUACAGGCAUGCACAGGCAUGCACAGGCAUGCACAGGCAUGCCCAGUUUCUUAUGUGACUACUGGGGAUUUGAAGUGAGGUCCUAAUGCUUACAGAGGAAGUACUCUUUCCUACUAAGCUCUCUCUCCCCAGAUUCCAGGAACUGAAUCUUAAAACUGUUCUUCAUUCAGAGAGGCAAUAAUCAGGAAAGAUGGUGGACUAACAUAAUAGAUAUCUGUCUUGUGCCUAAUUUUCAGCCAGCAGAUAUAUGUUUAUAUCUGGAUAAGGGAGUGGCCAUCAGUCAUUCUGGGUCUUGGCUCACCCCUCCGGCUGGUCAGCCUGACAUUUCUGAGAUUCUUGAUAUCUGUUUCUGGCUAUUGUCCCUCCUGUUCUUCUUCCCUUCUGUGAAUGUUUGGGCCUAAGCACUUCUUGAAAUGAUGAGCCAUGUCAAUUUCUGCUGUUACCAACCUUCAACUUCCCCCAGGGACAUCUGAGCUACAGUAGUGCUAACUUAGAACAAAUGAAGCAUAGAUGCUAAGCUACCAAUAACAGGCCUGCAGGUUUCUCUCUAUGCAUGGAAUACCCUGUCCAUCCCUCCUGUCCCUUAUCAGUCCUGAUACAAUUUGUUGAUUGCCAUCUUAGGGAGACUCUAUUGUGAUGGUUAGUUUUGUCAACUUGCCAUAAUCUAGUAUCAUCAGGGAGAAUGUUCUCAGAGAAUAUCUGAGAGGGAUUAUCUUAAUCAUCAUUGAAAGACUCACCCACCAUCGGUGGCAUGAUUCCUUAUGCUUGGGUCUUAGAUUGAAUAAAAAGGAGAAAACUAGCUGAGCGUUAUUUUAUUUAUGUUAAUUAUCAUUGAAAGACCCACCCACCAUGGGUGGUAUCAUUCCCUACGCUUGGAGCCUGGACUUAAUAAAAAGGAGCUGAGGACCAGCAGGUAUACAUUAGUACAUGUGUUCCUUCUCAGUUCAGGGAUUAUGGGUGUCAUGUGACUUCCAUGCCAUGAGUCGCCUGCAGUCGAGAAUUGUGAACCCAAUCAUCUUUCUCCCUAAGGUUGCUUUUGCCAGGGUGUUUCACAGUUGUAAAUGAAACUAAUGCAAUUAUCCGUACAUGUAAGGAAGUGGGUCUGGAGUCUUAAGAAACUGACCACACAGUUCAAAGUGUAUCUGCAGGGCAAAGGAUCAUUUCUGUAGAAGGGUUUGCAGCUUGAUACAUCAAAUAAACCCACCCCGUGGGACCCCACUGGGACUUUUCUCCCUAAUGCAAAAGGGUCCCUUGCCUCACUCUGAUUGGUCAGGGCUAGGUCUCACCUUUUUACCUGAUUGGCUAAUUCAAAGCCGCGUGGUUUCUAGGGAGAAAUAACUUAAGCAUACAUUUUGAUUAUAGGGAGUGCUGACCCUGAAGGAAUUUGAAUUUCUACCAGGCAACUUCUUUACAACAUUUUAAAUGGCGUUUUGCUUCAUUUAACUCUUCAAUAAGAAAGACAGUACAUUUUUAUUUUUAUUCCCCCCCUAACCCCCGUCACCAGGGAAACCAGCAACGUUUGCCCACACAGCACACAGGCUGGUCCACAUGAUGACCGGAAGCCAUCCUUCACCGUGUCCUAACAGAGACACACUGUAUCUCAGAAUAACGAGUCGCCAGCCCUCAAUGUGAUUAACUGCAUCUAACUGAGAACAAAGAAGGGCAAAGCAGCGCUGACCGCAGACCUGUGAGACUGACUUGACUCUUCCAUCCAUGAUUCUCAAGUUCUACAAAAACACACCUCUGGAGCGUUCUUCCAUGGUGCAGACUUGGAGACUUCUGGCUUCACCUACGCACUGUUGGCAAUGACUGAAUUUGGCAAAUGAAACCAAACAAGGCCAAUAAUAAUGGGAAAUGCCAACCCACAGGAGAGCAUUGUCGAUAGGUUUGUGAGAGAGGACCACAGAACAGCAAAAAUGAAUGCAUUUCGAGCCUGUGGUAUUCAGAAGAGUAAGGUCAACUAGCAUGUUUCUCUGAAGCAAUGCCAAAAUGGGACAACAAACUUCAGUUACACUCACAUUCACAGAUAUUAGGGUUAGGUCUUGGACAUGUUUAUUGAGGGUGGGGGCUGAAAUUGGACCGAUGAGGAGUGUGAUGGUUUGUAUAUGCUUGGACCAGGAAGUGGCACCAUCUGAAGGUGUGGCCUUGUUGGAAUAGGUAUGACCUGGUUGGAAUGGGUGUGUCACUGUGGGUGUGGAUAUAAGAUCCUCACCCUAGUUGCCUGGAAGUCAGUCUUCCACUAGCAGCCUUUGGAUGAAGACAUAGAACUCUCAGCUCCUCCUGCGCCAUGCCUGCCUGGAUAUUGCCAUGCUCGCACCUUGAUGAUAAUGGACUGAACCUCUGAACCUGUAAGCCAGCCCCAAUUAAAUGUUGUUUUUCUAUAAGACUUGCCUUGGUCAUGGUGUCUGUUCACAGCAGUAAAACCCUAACUAAGACAGAAGUUGGUACCAGA